rnacentral:pre_miRNA from 2 species
AAAAUACUCCCUCCGUCUGGAAAUACUUGUCCUAGAAAUGGAUAUAAUGGAUGUAUCUAUAGCUAAAAUAAGUCUAGAUACAUUCAUCUUUAGGACAAGUAUUUCCGGAUGGAGGGAGUAUAUC